CCGAGUUGCACUCCCUAGGGAGACAUCUCCACCCAGUGAGAACACACUUGUUGCUUUGGCGGGCCGCGGCCUCCGCCGCCGGCUUCGGCUGGCGAGCGCCCGCCAGAGGACCCAACUCUUCAAUUUAUGAGUCUGAGCAAGAAAUAAACGCAAA
rnacentral:misc_RNA from 1 species